rnacentral:lncRNA from 1 species
CACCAGGGUCUUCCAUCCAUCCACCAGGGUCUUCCAUCCAGUCACCAGGGUCUUCCAUCCAUCACCAGGGUCUUCCAUCCAGUCACCAGGGUCUUCCAUCCAGUCACCAGGGGCUUCCAUCCAGUCACCAGGGGCUUCCAUCCAGUCUUCCAUCCAGUCACCAGGGUCUUCCAUCCAGUCUUCCAUCCAGUCACCAGGGUCUUCCAUCCAGGUCUUUCCAUCCAGUCACCAGGGUCUUCCAUCCAGUCACCAGGGUCUUCCAUCCAGUCACCAGGGUCUUCCAUCCAGUCACCAUGGGCUUACAUCCAGUCUUCCAUCUAGUCACCAGGGUCUUCCAUUCAGUCACCAGGGUCUUCCAUCCAGUCACCAGGGUCAUCCAUCCAGUCACCAGGGUCAUCCAUCCAGUCUUCCAUCCAGUCACCAAGGUCUUCCAUCCAGUCACCAGGGUCUUCCAUCCAUCCCUCACCAGGGUCUUCCAUCCAUCCUCAGGGUCUUCCAUCCAUCCAGUCACAGCAGUGUCUUCUGUCCAUCCAGUCACACAAAGGUCUUCUGUCAUCCAGU